AUAUGACUCUCAAUCUGUAUAUACAAGAAGAUAAAAACCUUAAGACCACUGCAAUAAAACUGGCACUAAAAGGCAAUUUUUUAGAAUAUAAAUCUUUUGUCUUAUUUUUUUUCAAUUGAAAAUAGAUUCUUUUCUCAUACACUGUGUCCAGAUUAUAGUUUUCCCUCCCUCUUCUUCCAGUUCCUCCUUACCUCCACUCCUCUCUGAGUCCACUCCUUUUCUGUCUCUCAUUAGAAAAGAACAGGCUUCUAAGAGAUGAUAAAGAUGACAAAAUAAAAUAAGACAAAGUAAAAACUAUCAAAUUGAAGUUGGACACAGCAACCCAACAGAAGGAAGAGUCCCAAGAGCAGGCAUAAGGGUCAGAGGCCCACUCGUUCUCACUGAAGUCAGGAGUCCCAUAAAAAUACUAAGCCAGUAAUUAUAAUAUAUACACAGAGGACCUGGUACAGACCCGUGUAGGCCCUAUGCUUGCUGCUUCAGUGUCUGUGAGUUCAUAUGUGAAAAGGUAAUUUUUAAAAUUUUUUGUUUUAUGUGCAUUGGUGUUGUGCCUGCAUGUGUGUCUGUGUGGGGAUGCCAGAUCCUCUGGAACCAGAGCUAUAGACACUUGUGAGCUGCCGUGUAUGUGCUGGGAAUUAAACCUAGGUCCUUCUAGAAGAGCAGCCAGUACUCUCAACCUCUCCAGCCCCCCAAAAAGGGCCAUCAGUCUGGACGCCUCCAUGUCAGCUGCAAAGGUUCUAGUUACGGUCUGGAGCUGAAUCCACAAAGAUCCAAUGCCUCUGCACCUCCCACUCACCUCUCAAAAGGGCUGUGUGCUGGGCUCCAUGGGAUCUGGAACCUACACUCUUCUAGAGGCUUCGCUGGACUCAGAUGACAUUUGCAGGAAGCCAGGUCCUCAGACACCUAAAUCCUAGUUGGCUCAGGCCCCUUUAGUCAACACGGCAAAUGAUUUACAUCAAUUUACUUCAUGUCUUGUAUGUCCCUCCUUACCCAGUCUGCUGAGACCCUGAGGAAAUGUACUAUACAUCAUUCACUUUGACCUACCUUCAAAGAAGCCUUGGAGGAAGCAGCUGUCCCAAGGACUUACAUGCCUGGAUCCCAGCCUGGCUGCUCUAAAGGCGCAGUGAUCAGUAUCUCAAGGAUUAUUUAUAGCACGGGUGUAACACGAGGUCACAAGAACCGUGAAUGGUCUAUGAUCUUACCCUACUUGCAAGCUCACCAUCUGGCCUGCCACACAGCCUAAUGGUUGUUGGCACUCCUAGACAGAGUUAGGGACUUCUGUGUGUUUGCAUCUGUUGCUUUCCCUCCCAAGUCCCCC
rnacentral:lncRNA from 1 species